CCACAAAAGUUUCCACAAUAGGAUGCAAAGAUAUAUUUACAAAGUCAGAGCUAAUCCCUGAAAAGAAAYUAAKGUACGGAUAAGAAUCKGGAACUCGAUUCUUUGAAGAAGGAAUUGCUAGUAAUCGUCUAUCACCAUGAGACGGUGAAACUAUCAUCUGUGAUGUACUAACUACUCGUCAAGCGCAAAAAUUUUAGGRAUAUCAAGUUUAUACGUCUAUUUCUUAAAGAUUUGUGUUAAG
rnacentral:rRNA from 1 species